CUAGUGACGCUGUAGAAUUCGGCAAACUAAAUUUGUUAUAGAGAAUUGUAAGCCGAAUGAUAUAAAGUUCCAUAUUUAGUGUAAGCCGUUCCCUUUCUCCUGUUUCUCAAGCCACAACCAUUCUCAUGGGGGUGUACAAAAUUGGUCCUAAUAACAAAGCAUAAAUUCAAAAGUAAAUGCCCUAGAUACAGCACAAUAUCUCUGUAAAUAACUUUCAACAGUAUAAUCAAUGAAGAAGCGCCCUAUAUUUUUACUGGUGACUAGAAAUUCAACACUAAUAUAUGCUUGCGCCGUGUUAUCAUAUUUCAUGUACGUAUUCAUUUGAAAGACUACGUAAUGUGUAAACGUUGUGCUUGACGUAGUAUAUUCGUUUUUUUUUUUAUUUCCUUUUAUUAUCGACAGAACGACAGAAAAAAUAAAUAAAUUUUGUCACUGGAAAAACAUUGACCCGUUACCAUUCAAUGGCCAUCGGGAAUGUACAGAGCCCACAUUAUCGUCUGAUUUUAAUUCCCUUAACAAUUUUACUGUAUUAGACGACUUAAGAACCCAUAUCGAAAUGAAUAACUGCCACAAUUGUCGAGGGAAUUUCGAUUAUUUUCCGAUACAUUUUCACUGACGUUUCGCAAUCACUGUACUCGAUUCUUAAAAACGAAGGUUGUGUUGCUUAAGUUAAGUAUGCAUGUAGCAUUGUAGCAUAUACAAUACCAUUCGGUUUGAACAUUAAAAAGAUGCGUGAUCAGACAUUUUUUUCAUAUGAUUUGUAUUCGUAUUGGUUAUGCCUUGUGUUUCUUGUAUGCGAGUGUGUCUGUGUGUGCCUGUGUCUGGCUCGUGUUCAAAUCAAUGUUCAAUGUCAGUCACAAUUGAGCAUGUCUAAG